rnacentral:rRNA from 1 species
GAUGAACGCUGGCGGCGUGCCUAAUACAUGCAAGUCGAGCGAACGGACGAGAAGCUUGCUUCUCUGAUGUUAGCGGCGGACGGGUGAGUAACACGUGGAUAACCUACCUAUAAGACUGGGAUAACUUCGGGAAACCGGAGCUAAUACCGGAUAAUAUUUUGAACCGCAUGGUUCAAAAGUGAAAGACGGUCUUGCUGUCACUUAUAGAUGGAUCCGCGCUGCAUUAGCUAGUUGGUAAGGUAACGGCUUACCAAGGCAACGAUGCAUAGCCGACCUGAGAGGGUGAUCGGCCACCCUGGAACUGAGACACGGUCCAGACUCCUACGGGAGGCAGCAGUAGGGAAUCUUCCGCAAUGGGCGAAAGCCUGACGGAGCAACGCCGCGUGAGUGAUGAAGGUCUUCGGAUCGUAAAACUCUGUUAUUAGGGAAGAACAUAUGUGUAAGUAACUGUGCACAUCUUGACGGUAACUAAUCAGAAAGCCACGGCUAACUACGUG